rnacentral:misc_RNA from 1 species
UCUACAACUGUGACAUAUGA